AUUUGUUGUAUUUUUCCCUGUGCAGGAGGGAUGAGGAGGACCAGAUUUAUUUGUUGUAUUUUUCCCUGUGCAGGAGGGAUGAGGACCAGAAUUUCAUCACCAUCUUCUCAUUCUGCAUCAUACUUCAGUAUCUUCACCCAUCAAACCACUUUUCAUCCUAUUCACACUGGAAUUAACACAGAAGAGCCUGUGAGGCUGUGACCCCAAGCCUGGAGCUUUAGAAGAAAUGCUGGCUGCAGAGUUUGCAUGUGCCUGGGAGAACAUUCGUGACUUUGAUUGGAUUCAAUCAUCAGAGUCUAAAUCUGAUGCUUCAGGUUAGGUAAUCUGUGCAGUGCUGCAAAUUUAUGUAAAAGAGUACAAGCAGCAGCAGUGAAUCAGGCUCGAGAAAGACCUGUCUGUUCUGUCAAGAAAAGCUUUGAAAACACUCAUUAAAAAAUGUCUUAAGUCAAUUUUUAUGACCUCUCAGGUUUUCUUGCUUGUU
rnacentral:lncRNA from 12 species